AGUUAAACAUGAAUACCCAACUUGACACAGUACACUGACUCCGAGGCGACCAGUCCUUGUUUUAGCCCUUUAAUGCUGAGUACCAGACAGGGUAACAACAAGUACCAUCUUUUAACAUCUUCUAGUAGGACGUGCCCGGGGAUCAAACCAGCUCUCCGGGCGGACAGUCUACCACUAGACCACGGAGGCCUUCUGGUUAGUUGGAGGAACAAAGUUGGGACAUAAAUCGAAAUAGCCGCUGGUGGUGAAAGAACCCAGGAAUACCAGCCAAUACUUUUACAGUCAGUUCACUACCUUGCCUCGGGAAGAUGCACACGUGAAUGAGACUCCCGAUAGGUGACGUUACAGUGAAUGAGACACUUGUCAGGUGACGUUACAGUGAAUGAGACACUUGUCAGGUGACGUUACAGUGAAUGAGACACUUGUCAGGUGACGUUACAGUGAAUGAGACACUCGUCAGGUGACGUUACAGUGAAUGAGACGCUCGUCAGGUGACGAUACAGUGAAUGAGACGCUCUUCAGGUGACGAUACAGUGAAUGAGACACUCUUCAGGUGACGAUACAGUGAAUGAGACACUCGUCAGGUGACUUUGCAGUGAAAGAGACCCUCGUCAGGUGACGAUACAGUGAAUGAGACACUCGUCAGGUGACGAUACAGUGAAUAAGACGCUCGUCAGGUAACGAUACAGUGAAUAAGACACUCGUCAGGUGACGAUACAGUGAAUGAGACUCCAGAUAGGUGACGUUACAGUGAAUGAGACGCUCGUCAGGUGACGAUACAGUGAAUGAGACGCUCGUCAGGUGACGAUACAGUGAAUGAGACUCGUCAGGUGACGAUACAGUGAAUGAGACAAUCGUCAUGUGACAUUACAGUGAAUAAGACACUCGUCAGGUGACGAUACAGUGAAUGAGACUCCAGAUAGUUGACGUUACAGUGAAUGAGACGCUCGUCAGGUGACGAUACAGUGAAUGAGACGCUCUUCAGGUGACGAUAUAGUGAAUGAGACACUCGUCAGGUGACGAUACAGUGUAUGAGACGCACGUCAGGUGACGAUACAGUGAAUGAGACACUCGUCAGGUGACGAUACAGUGAAUGAGACAAUCGUAAUGUGACCUUACAGUGAAUGAGACACUCGUCAGGUGACGUUGCAGUGAAAGCGACUCCCGAUAGAUGACCUUACAGUGAAUGAGACACUCGUCAGGUGACCUUACAGUGAAUGAGACAUUCGUCCGCUGACGUUACAGUGAAUGAGACACUCGUCAGGUGACGUUACAGUGAAUGAGAAACUCGUCAGGUGACGAUACAGUGAAUGAGACUCUCGUCAGGUGACGUUACAGUGAAUGAGACGCUCGUCAGGUGACGAUACAGUGAAUGAGGCACUCGUCAGGUGACGAUACAGUGAAUGAGACACUCGUCAGGUGACGUUUCAGGGAAGGAGACUUUCCAUAGGUGACCUUACAGUGAAUAAGACACGAAGUGAGUGAAUAAAAAUGG